UACGGAGGGUGCAAGCGUUAAUCGGAAUUACUGGGCGUAAAGCGUGCGCAGGCGGUUUGUUAAGUCUGCUGUGAAAUCCCCGAGCUCAACUUGGGAAUUGCAGUGGAUACUGGCAAGCUGGAGUACGGUAGAGGAAGGUGGAAUUCCCGGUGUAGCAGUGAAAUGCGUAGAGAUCGAGAGGAACACCGGUGGCGAAGGCGGCCAACUGGACGAAUACUGACGCUGAGACACGAAAGCGUGGGGAGCAAACAGG
rnacentral:rRNA from 1 species